GACAGAGGCCUCAAGCGUUAGGCGGAAUCACUGGGCUUAAAGCGUGUGUAGGCGGAUCGUUAAGUGUCUUGUGAAAUCCCACGACUCACCCGUGGAACUGGCUGGGUACUACUGGCCUGAUCUUGGAGCCAACUAGGGGCGAAGCGGAACAGACGGUGGAGCGGUGAAAUGCGUAGAUAUCGUCUGGAACGCCAAAGGUGAAAACAGCUCGCUGGGGUUGUGCUGACGCUGAGACACGAAAGCCAGGGGAGCGAACGGG
rnacentral:rRNA from 1 species